UCGUCCUGGAUCUGCUAAGGAAACACCAGAGCUGUGGAAGUCACAAUGCCUGCAGGACUGAAGAUGCAGGCGACACCAGCUUUGGAGAAAGAAAUGCAUAAAAUUAUUCCAGAACAUUCGAUCAUUCUAGACAGCAAAGAAGUUAUCAACCAAACAAGGAUUCAAGGGUCAAUUUUUAAAUUUACUAUUUUUUUUCAGGUGUGUGUG
rnacentral:lncRNA from 1 species